AUUCAACUUUUGCCACAGUUAUAUGUUUAUUGGACUAAAACAUUUUGAGUAAAUGAAACCUUGGAGUCAAAACUUAUGAGUAAUGAGACGUGAUGACGUCAUAACGUACGCCCAUGAACGUGAACUCAGCCACAGAAGUCUUCAAGAUGGCGGAGGUCUGAUGCGAGUGUCAGCUGGCCCAAGUUGAUAACGCACAUACGUCUAGUGAACCGGCGGUGCGUUUGAAAAAUAAGAGCGUAGAUGUGAGCUGAGUUUCAUCGCAUCACAAAUGUCAACCUGGAAAAACAGUUUUAUUUUGACCUGGAGAGACAGACGCAGAGGAUGCUGAUCUUUUUGAGACAGAAGGCAGCACGAACCGGAAGGCUCUAUGCGACAUUCUGCACCUCUAUGAUAAACAGCAAGAGCAGACUGCUGAUGUCAAAUGUACUCCUGUCCUGUACUGGCUUCUAAUAUACAAACGUGAGGAGGACCCACAGUUCUUCAAAGUUUGGAAUAUUAAAGAGUCACCAGAGGCAGACAUCAGCAGCACCUCUGUUGGCAUUCUGACCGUCAGCAACAACAAUACAAGUUCAGUGCAUUUCUGUCCGCUCAGUACUGCAGUUGUGGUGGAAGAUGAGCUUGUGGUAGGCGACAUUCCCAAAUGGGUAUUUUUUUGAGCGCUAAUGUUUUUAGGGAAAGGGCAGCCUAAGAAAAUACAGUUUUAUGUGGGAAAAGUGUAAAAAAAAAAAAA